UGGGGAAUAUUGGACAAUGGGCGAAAGCCUGAUCCAGCCAUGCCGCGUGUGUGAAGAAGGUCUUCGGAUUGUAAAGCACUUUAAGUUGGGAGGAAGGGCAGUAAGCGAAUACCUUGCUGUUUUGACGUUACCGACAGAAUAAGCACCGGCUAACUCUGUGCCAGCAGCCGCGGUAAUACAGAGGGUGCAAGCGUUAAUCGGAAUUACUGGGCGUAAAGCGCGCGUAGGUGGUUCGUUAAGUUGGAUGUGAAAGCCCCGGGCUCAACCUGGGAACUGCAUCCAAAACUGGCGAGCUAGAGUAGGGCAGAGGGUGGUGGAAUUUCCUGUGUAGCGGUGAAAUGCGUAGAUAUAGGAAGGAACACCAGUGGCGAAGGCGACCACCUGGGCUCAUAAUGACACUGAGGUGCGAAAGCGUGGGGAGCAAACAGG
rnacentral:rRNA from 1 species